rnacentral:snRNA from 1 species
GUGCUCACUUCAGCAGCACAAACACUAAAACUGGAAGGAUACAGAGAAGAUGAGUGAUUAGCACGAUCCCCGUGCAAGGAUGUCACGCAAAUUCAUGGAGCAUUCCAUAAAAAA